UGGGGAAUUUUGGACAAUGGGCGAAAGCCUGAUCCAGCAAUGCCGCGUGUGUGAAGAAGGCCUUCGGGUUGUAAAGCACUUUUGUCCGGAAAGAAAUCCUCUGGGUUAAUACCUCGGGGGGAUGACGGUACCGGAAGAAUAAGCACCGGCUAACUACGUGCCAGCAGCCGCGGUAAUACGUAGGGUGCAAGCGUUAAUCGGAAUUACUGGGCGUAAAGCGUGCGCAGGCGGUUUUGUAAGACGGAUGUGAAAUCCCCGGGCUUAACCUGGGAGCUGCAUUCGUGACUGCAAGGCUAGAGUAUGGCAGAGGGGGGUAGAAUUCCACGUGUAGCAGUGAAAUGCGUAGAGAUGUGGAGGAAUACCGAUGGCGAAGGCAGCCCCCUGGGCCAAUACUGACGCUCAUGCACGAAAGCGUGGGGAGCAAACAGGAUUAGAUACCCUGGUAGUCCACGCCCUAAACGAUGUCAACUAGUUGUUGGGGAUUCAUUUCCUUAGUAACGUAGCUAACGCGUGAAGUUGACCGCCUGGGGAGUACGGUCGCAAGAUUAAAACUCAAAGGAAUUGACGGGGUCAUAGCUG
rnacentral:rRNA from 1 species